CAGACGAUGCGUCAUGCAUAUCAAUAAGCGGAGGAAAAGAAACUAACAAGGAUUCCCUUAGUAACGGCGAGUGAAGCGGGAAGAGCUCAAAUUUGAAAUCUUCAAGGUUUUACCUUGACGAAUUGUAGUUUAAAGAAGUGUUUUCUGCUGAAGUUUUGGUAAAAGUUCUUUGGAAUAGGACAUCAUAGAGGGUGAGAAUCCCGUAUUUGACCAUUAUUUUCAGCUUUGUGAUACACUUUCAAAGAGUCGGAUUGUUUGGGAAUGCAGUCCAAAAUGGGUGGUAAAUUUCAUCUAAAGCUAAAUAUUGGCGAGAGACCGAUAGCGAACAAGUACCGUGAGGGAAAGAUGAAAAGAACUUUGAAAAGAGAGUUAAACAGUACGUGAAAUUGUCAAAAGGGAAGCGUUUAACACCAGUGUUGUUUUCUGAAAAUCAACCUCUGUUAGCUUUAUGCAUGUUUGUUUUGACCUAAUCAGCUAUCUUGCAUGUUCUAUUGUUUGCAGUGGUGCACUUUUCAGUUUACAGGUCAACAUCAGUUUUUUUUACCGUAAAAAAGUUAAAGAAAGGUAGCUCAUGGCUCCGGUCGUGAGUGUUAUAGUCUUUUUCCUAUGCGGUAGGAGAGACUGAGGUCUGCAGUGUAGGCUAUUCGGCUAGAUACUCAGGUGCUAUGUGAUACCAUUUCAUAAACAACUUGUUGAUUAUGAUUUGUCUAUUGCAUACUCGCUUGUACUAUCAUACCUACGCUUAGGAUGUUGACUGAUAUGUAGUCGUA
rnacentral:rRNA from 1 species